rnacentral:lncRNA from 1 species
GGAGCCCCCCGGGCCGCCUGAGACCCCCUGGGGUGGGAUCUGACCCCCCCUGGGUGGGGUUUGAUCCCCCCUGGGUGGGAUCUGACCCCUCCAUGGGGCAGGAUCCACC